AUGCCGGAGCUCGCCCAUCUGAUUAUGCUUGCCACGUCGGAGCCAAUUACAACAAGCGGGUGCUCGUGCUCGCCGACCCACAACAAUGAGGUGGACAGCGUCAGCGUGUUCACUCAACUCGAUUCACUCGGGAUGGCCGGCAAGAUCCAAAAUCAGAGUGACUGGAUCAAAGUUGCAGGAAGAUUCUUUUUUGGAAGGUUCAAGCUUGUCCAUCGAGAGGGAGGUGAGGAGAGGGGAUGGGGCGAAUAUUUCCUCUCCUCUGAUCCGACCAAAUGCCCGGCGCAAGUUUCCAUGGGUGGGAGCUACCCAGGAAUUGGAUCCUGCCCUUUUCCCUGUGCACCAAACAAGCCCUAUGGAUUAUAA
rnacentral:rRNA from 1 species